rnacentral:miRNA from 1 species
GAGACUGCAGUUACUUUUGC